GAAACUCUUUUCUCUGUGAUAACUCCAGCUGUGUCAAGUUGACACACAAAACCAGCCAGUACACCCUUCAAUGUUUCUGUUUUUUUUUUUUUUUUUUUUUUUAGCAUACAUUUGUGUGAUGUUACAUUAUCAGCAUUUAUGGUUAGAAGAUAAAAUACUGGCCAGCUUUGAAAAUGGUUGAAGAUUCUUUAAGUACCAUGGCAUCAAAUAUUCAGCCAACAUUUCAUUCUUUAUGUAAAAUAAGCAUAUCCAUCUCAUUAUUUGGAAAAGAAAUCCUUUUAUCUCCAACAAAUGAUAAAGUCAUUUAUGUCUAAUUAUUAUUUGAACAUAAAUUUCUUUGGGAUUCAUUAUUAGUAAAUAGCUGAUCUAUAUACCUGAGGUUACAGAACAUUUUCUCAGGUUAAAAGGGUCAUGAGUGGGAGAAGUUUAAGAAGCCCUGAUCUCAAGAGUAACCUGUUUCCCAUUAGUGUGAUUUUAAAGAACAUUUUCUGCCUUUGAAUAAAUUAUCCUUGGUGCUCUGCACCCCCAAAUAUAUAGGAGUUUCCUAAACUGAAAAAAAAUAACUUGCUUUGAUCCUACGCUAGCAGAGAGGGCCCUCCGGCUCCCCAUCUUGCUUAGGUCAACCCUAUACUCUGUGCUCCAUGAAACCCAGGGAUCCCCUGGGGCUGGGAUGCAUGCAGACUCAGCAUGAGGCAGUUCCAAGGAAAGGCUCAAGACAGCUUUCAAAAGUCUUCCAGAAAGGGAAGUGUGAGCGUCCGCUGUCUGUGCACAGUCCCCCUGGGCACUGUUCUGCAGUCAGCUGAUAGGAUUUUUAAGGAUGGUGGUCAGGACCAGAGCUCAGACUCGAGGCUAAGAACUGUGUUGCAGGUAGCCAAACUUUCCAGGUUAUUUUGUUUGUUUUUAAGAUUUGAUUUAUUUUUAAUAUAUUUUUGGACUGUUUUGUUUUGUUUUGUUUUAUACGUGUGUGUAUGUGUGCCACAUGAAUGCCCAAUGCACUCAGAGGUCAGAAGAAGGAAUUUGAUUGUCUGGAACUGAAAUUAUGAAUAAUUGUGAGUCACCAUAUGAGUACCAGAAAUCAAAUCCAGGUCCUUAGCAAGAGCAACAGUUGCUCCAAACCUUUGAGCCAUCUCUCUAGUCCGUAAAGAUUUUAUGUAUGUGGGUGUUUUGCACACGUGUGCAUACACGGUACCCACAGAGGUCAGAAGAGAGUGCUUGGUCCUUUGGGACUAGAGAGAGUUAUGAGCUGCUCUGUGGGGACUGGGAACCAAACCCAGGUCUUCUUCGAGAACAGCAAAUAUUCUAGACCAUUGAGCCAUCUCUCCAGCCCCAGGGUUUUUCAGUUUUAUGGUAAAUUUUAUAGUUAACUUGUUUAUAUUUAGAGGUCUGUUUAAUACUUGCUCUGUGUCCAGGGGCUGUCCAGAGUUUGAUGCAACACCACUGGAACUAUCAUUUACUGUAUGCUUUCUUCAAAAAUUAAUCUUCUUUGAAUAGGAACUCCCAAACCGAGCUGUCAGAAAUGCAAAUUAGCAGAACUCCUUCCUGGAAGUUAAUUAGUUACAUAUCCUUUGAGCCAGAUAUCCUUUAGGGAGUUUAUAUUAAGAAAAUAAUCAUUUUGAUGUGGGUAAAGAUCUCUGUGGUUGUUUACAGUGUUGGUCUUAAUGACUCAUUACAAACUGAAUAUCUAGCAAAGCACUCUUGGCUAAAUAACUUGUCAUGCACAUUGUUACAGGUUGUAAUACAGCAGUUGGAAAGAUGUGGUGGAGGACAAUGUAAUGAUGGGAAACAAUUCCUGAUAUGUAGUGGAAAUGAGUCUGUGACCAUGGGAAGUGAUCUCUAUAAUCAGUCUGCAAAUCCAGACAGAUGAGGGUUGUUUUUUCUUGUUAAUAUUUUCUUUGCAUUCUACAUCUCAUACAAGUUAUUUUUUUUAAUCAAGUAAAAAACAGUCCUACUACACAUGAGUGUACUGGGUACAAUUUGUGCUUAAAGCAACACACACUAGUCCUGUGGCCACAGAGUAUACAAAAUACUCUGCAGAUACAGCCUGUGUGCCUUGCUCGCACAGAAGAAGCUAGGACCCCAGACUGCUAGUAGCCCUUUGUACCAUCUCGAAGUUACUAUGCCUCCUCUCUCACCUCUGAGUACAGAAGUUACUGCCUGCCUUGGAACUGUGUAUAAUUGAAAUCACAUGUCCUUUUAGGUUCAAGACUGCUUCUGCCCUCUGUGAUAUUCGUGAGUCAUACUCUGUAUUGCUGUAUUGGCUGUAGUUGCUUAAUGACAUGGGUAGGAGAUUCUCCAUCCUGGAGAUUAUUUUUUUUUAAGUGGAGUAUCUUAGUGUUUAGGAUUUAUGGUGAACUUCUGGAAGGUGCUGCAAAGUUCCAUUUGCAGAAGUUGCUCCUGGUAGAUAACUUGCUCAGAUCCAGGGCCUGAGCAUCUCCACUCCUCUAGGCAGGCACCAAACAUCAGAGCAUCAGAUAAACUUGAUGAGAAAGGCCUAUCCAUAUCAUAAAUAACGGCACAGCUAAUAAUGUGUGGUGGAGGUUACUUCUCCCACGUUGGCCACACUGCUGUGCGCGUGCAUAUGCUUUGAAGCCCCUCUUUUGACUCUGUGCACUCAUGGCUUAAGAAUUCAGUACCACAGCUCUCUUGCAAGUCUGCUCCACAUCCUGAGGAAAGGCUGUCUGUCAUCUUAAAUACAGCCCUGGCUCACAAUGUUUUUCAGUAUUAAAGGGCACCGGUUGUUGAUGCAAAGCCUUGCCAACCUGCAGUUUCUCAACUUCUGUUUUGGGUCAGAUUGCAAUGAACCAUUGUUGGAUUUUAUGCAAUGUGAUUUAUAAUGCUUCCCCCC
rnacentral:lncRNA from 1 species